rnacentral:piRNA from 1 species
GAGGAAAGAGUGAGUUAAAUGUUGGU